rnacentral:rRNA from 1 species
GAUGAACGCUGGCGGCGUGCUUAACACAUGCAAGUCGAACGAUGAAGCCGGAGCUUGCUCUGGUGAAUUAGUGGCGAACGGGUGAGUAACACGUGAGUAACCUGCCCUUGACUCUGGAAUAACUGCUAGAAAUGGUAGCUAAUACCGGAUACGACCCUCGGAGGCAUCUCCAGGGGGUGGAAAGAAUUUCGGUCAAGGAUGGACUCGCGGCCUGUCAGCUAGUUGGUGAGGUAACGGCUCACCAAGGCGACGACGGGUAGCCGGCCUGAGAGGGUGAUCGGCCACACUGGGACUGAGACACGGCCCAGACUCCUACGGGAGGCAGCAGUGGGGAAUAUUGCACAAUGGGCGCAAGCCUGAUGCAGCGACGCCGCGUGAGGGACGACGGCCUUCGGGCUGUAAACCUCUUUUAGUAGGGAAGAAGCGAAAGUGACGGUACCUGCAGAAAAAGCACCGGCUAACUACGUGCCAGCAGCCGCCGUAA